rnacentral:rRNA from 1 species
GACGAACGCUGGCGGCGUGCUUAACACAUGCAAGUCGAACGGAAAGGCCCUGCUUUUGUGGGGUGCUCGAGUGGCGAACGGGUGAGUAACACGUGAGUAACCUGCCCUUGACUUUGGGAUAACUUCAGGAAACUGGGGCUAAUACCGGAUAGGAUCUCCUGCUGCAUGGUGGGGGUUGGAAAGUUUCGGCGGUUGGGGAUGGACUCGCGGCUUAUCAGCUUGUUGGUGGGGUAGUGGCUUACCAAGGCUUUGACGGGUAGCCGUCCUGAGAGGGUGACCGGCCACAUUGGGACUGAGAUACGGCCCAGACUCCUCCGGGAGGCAGCAGUGGGGAAUAUUGCACAAUGGGCGGAAGCCUGAUGCAGCAACGCCGCGUGCGGGAUGACGGCCUUCGGGUUGUAAACCGCUUUCGCCUGUGACGAAGCGUGAGUGACGGUAAUGGGUAAAGAAGCACCGGCUAACUACGUG